rnacentral:rRNA from 1 species
GACAGAGGGUGCAAACGUUGUUCGGAAUUACUGGGCGUAAAGCGUGUGUAGGCGGUCCUCUAAGUCGGAUGUGAAAUCCCUGGGCUCAACCCAGGAAGUGCACUCGAAACUGGAGGGCUAGAGUAUCGGAGAGGUUGGUGGAAUUCUCGGUGUAGAGGUGAAAUUCGUAGAUAUCGAGAGGAACACCGGUGGCGAAGGCGGCUCUCUGGGACGGUACUGACGCUGAGACGCGAAAGCGUGGGGAGCGAACAGG